GGUUGUAUGGAGUAGUUGGUUAACUUAGGAGAUUCUGACGCAGCGAGCAUUCGAGCUCAGCGAUCUGUUCUGAUUUCUCUUGCCCUGGGUUCGAAUCCCAGUACGACCU